CGCACUUGGCAUUCACAAAUUACCAAAGCCCUUAUCCCGUUCGAGUUUCUCUGAACCAACAAGCCCUCAAUCUGGUCGGCACACCAACAGGUGCUCUCUUACGCCGCCCAACACACAUGAACUUGUUCAAACGUUUCUUCUCUGAGACGUACUGUAUCUUCUUCUGAGGUCUUAAGGAGAGGAAUAUUUGGGACGUCUUCUCAGAGUUGCAAUUUUUCUACUAAAGGUGCUGAACAUUCAUGCCUGCUGUUAUUUUGAAUGUUUAUUUACAGUUAUUUCCCUACGUAUUAGAGCAUCUGCAUAGUUUCAUGUUUAUUUAAAGUUAUUUCUGAUUGUUUAUCUAGAGUUAUAUCCUGAAGAUUUGGCCUAGUAAAGGCUGCUGAGAAUGUCUAUCUAGAGUUAUUUUGAAUGUUUAUUUGUAGUUUGAAUGUCUAUAACAUUGUGGUUAAUGAUUAUAUAUUUUACAUGUAGAUUUUUCCUGAAUAUUUGGCCUAGUAAAUGCUUUUAUUAGCUUUUAUAAAGUAUAAUACUCUAAUUCUUUUUAUAUAAUUUAAUUUUGAAGGUAUUGAAGGAAUUUUCAUCAUGCCUUCCAUGUGUUUCUAUGAGUUGUUUUAGAAGUGUUGUAUUUCUGAACUUGUUGUUUUUAUGAUUUGUGAUUUAAUUUGUUAUUUUUUGGCAUGUAUUGCAAUAAUAUUUUUGUCAUGUUUUAUGUAUUAGUUAUCAGAUUUGGGAUGGAUUCAAGUAUAUUUUAUUCAGGUUUGGGAUGGGUUUGGAUAACUCAUAUAUUUUACGGGUUCGGGUUUGGGUUCCGGUUCAGAUACUUUAAAAUUUGCAGCUACCUUACUUGUUGCCAUCCCUAUAAUAACUAACAAAUACUAAACACUCUAAACCUUAGUUCGUAUUUUGCUUCUCUUAAUUUUCUUGGUGGUGAGUACCACAAGCUAUUACCUCUGUUUUGCAGGCUAUAUAGUUGAUUGAAUGCAGUAUUGGUGUUGGUGAUUAACUAAGAAAAUGAUGGAGGAGACUAAGAAUUUGGACCUUGAUCGAAGCAUAAAGAAGGAGGCUCCUCAAUUAGCUGCACUGCUGAAAGAAAUGAAAGGAGUGUUGGAUACAGUGACAAGUAAGGUGCAGGCUUUAACUGCUAAGGUGAAAGCAAAUGACUUUCCAACAGCAGGCGGAAUAAGCUAUCUUGAGGCUAAACAUUUGCUGCUCCUAAACUAUUGCCAAUCACUUGUAUAUUAUUCGCUUCGCAAGGCAAAAGGCUUGUCAAUUGAGAAACAUCCUGUAGUUCAGAGCCUUAUAGAGAUUCGGUUGUUUUUGGAGAAGAUUCGGCCAAUUGACCAAAAAAUGGAAUACCAAGUUCAAAAGCUCACCAGGGAUAUUGGGCGUGCAGCGGAGCAACUAAAUCUGAAGGAAAAGGAAUCAGAGGCAACUGAGAAAUCGGAGGAUUUGUUGAAAUAUCAUCCAAACCCAGAAAUGUUGGUCAGCAGAUCUGAUAUGAUGGCUGAGGAUGGUAAUGCUGUGUAUCGACCACCAAAAAUUGCUCCCACUCUCAUGGAGGAGGAUAAGAUGUCAAAACAGGAAAGAAAUGCCUUGAGAAGGGAGAAAGAGACUCAGCGACGAGCUAAGGAGGGCUAUAUGAAAGACUUGAUAGAUGAUUUGGAGGGAAGACCUGAAGAGGUCAGAGAAAAUGUUGGAAAUGAGAGUAGGGAAUUUAUUAGAUAUCAGCAGCAAUGGGAAGAACGUGCCCAACGAGAAGAGGAGCUCUUUACACGUGCUCCUGUUACAAAGAUGGAGAAGAAGAAGGAGAAGCAUUUAAAGAAAUCAAGAGAUGGGUAUGCAUGGUUCAAAUCAACAUUAUUUUAUUAUUUUUGGAGGUUUAUUUUUUUAUGUUUUGAUAUGUAAAAUUCAUUGAUCCAUCUGAUAAAACAUCGUUAUUGGUGAUAUAUGACCUUUUUUCCUUGACCAUCUUUCAUUUGUUUGUCCCAGAUUGCUUGCUUUGACUGAUGGUUUCUUUGAUGAAAUUAAAACCUUACCCUUGGAAGGUGAUACUGGUGAUCAAACAAAAAAACUUCAAUAAUGGUAGCAGUGCAACUGGAAGACUGAAAAAACGGAAGGUAUGCCAUUUUGAAUAUUUUGAAAUGUCAUGUCGUUGUUUCCUUUAUCUGUUAACUAUCUUGGAUUGAAGAACUUCUGUCCCACAUUGGUAUCAUACCAAUCUCUGCUAGGCUAUUCAAAGCUUGGAAUUUUAAAUCUAUAGCAGGAUUUUAGCUUUGCAUUUAUUUGUUAGAAUGAGGGAGGCCACAUUUUCUUAUGUUGGUUCCUCAUUGUUUGAUGUGAAGAACUUGAUGCCGAAAGCCCCUACAAAUAAGUGAUCUUUGGAUGUUAUGAUUCCAGUUAGAGAAACCAUUAAAUUUAAGAUCUCCCAGGCUACGUGGUUGUAUACUUGCAUUUUUAUUUGUUGUUUGACAUCAUGCAAGGAGAACUAGAUAUACAGAAUUUGUAUGGACUGGGGGUUGACCUUUUUGGUUAUUUGCAGAGGCGAUAUUAAGGACAAGAA
rnacentral:misc_RNA from 1 species